rnacentral:rRNA from 1 species
AGCAGCCGCGGUAAUUCCAGCUCCAAUAGCGUAUAUUAAAGUUGUUGCAGUUAAAAAGCUCGUAGUUGAAUUUCGGGAUUGACACAUCGGUCGUGCCUUAAGGGGUAUGAACUGGUGUAGUCAAUUUCUCACCUUCUGGAGAACCGCGCUGUCCUUAAUUGGGUGACGCGGGGGAACCAGGACCUUUACUUUGAAAAAAUUAGAGUGUUUAAAGCAGGCAUUUUGCUUGAAUACAUUAGCAUGGAAUAAUAAAAUAGGACGGCAUGAUUCUAUUUUGUUGGUUUCUAGGAUCACCGUAAUGAUUAAUAGGGAUAGUUGGGGGCAUUAGUAUUCAAUUGUCAGAGGUGAAAUUCUUGGAUUUAUUGAAGACUAACUACUGCGAAAGCAUUUGCCAAGGAUGUUUUCAUUAAUCAAGAACGAAAGUUAGGGAUCGAAGACGAUCAGAUACCGUGUAGUCUUAACCAUAAACUAUGACCGACUAGGAAUCAGACGAUGUUUAAUUUUUAUGUACUUCGUUUGG